UACGGAGGGUGCUAGCGUUGUUCGGAAUUACUGGGCGUAAAGGGCGCGUAGGCGGCCGUUUGCGUCGGAUGUGAAAGCCCGGGGCUCAACCUCGGAACGGCAUUCGAUACGGGACGGCUGGAGACCGGGAGAGGAGAGUGGAAUAGCCAGUGUAGAGGUGAAAUUCGUAGAUAUUGGCUGGAACACCGGUGGCGAAGGCGGCUCUCUGGGCCGGUUCUGACGCUGAGGCGCGAAAGCGUGGGGAGCAAACAGG
rnacentral:rRNA from 1 species